GGGGCUGACCGGUUUUGACAGCAGGUCAAGGCGACAGAGUAAGCGUGUCGAGGGUUGUAGGGGCACUCGUUAAACAGAACUUUCAAACAUUAACUGGCAAUAAUAGCUAUCAACUCGCUGCGUAAUUUCACUAAGUGAAAUCGCUUAAUUCCCGCCGCCAAGGCUGCGGUAGGAACGAGUACUCAGAGGGUGAGAGACCUCUUUUAGCUCUCAUUUUCACCGAGUAUCAUCAAAUUAAAAGAUAGCUUGCGAGGGCAUCCCGACCUCCGAGCGAAAUUUAAGGGAUUAAGUUGCGGCUCAGGGUGUCCGUUCUCAUACCGCAAUCGAAAAACAAAGACGGAAUACACACGUAGAAAGCACUGGGGCUUCUUGUUUGGACGAGGGUUCGAUUCCCUCCAGCUCCACUU
rnacentral:tmRNA from 1 species